AGGGCCCGAGCGUAGCUGCUAAGCAGCUGCGAGAGCCCUAUUGUUCCUGAUGGAUUCUUCUUUCUUCUUCUUCUUCUUCUUCUUAUUAGGGCCCGAGCAUAGCUGCUCAGCAGCUGCGAGAGCCCUCUUGUUCCUGAUGGAUUCUUCUUUAGGGCCCGAGCGUAGCUGCUAAGCAGCUGCGAGAGCCCUCUUGUUCCUGAUGGAUUCUUCUUUUGUUAUUAGGGCCCGAGCGUAGCUGCUAAGCAGCUGCGAGAGCCCUAUUAUUCCCCAAGUGGUUUUUAGGGCCCGAGCGUAGCUGCUAAGCAGCUGCGAGGCCCUAUUAUUCCUGUAGUGGUUUUUCUUUGUUUCUUUUUAGGGCCCGAGCCAGCUGCAGAGCAGCCGGGCGUAGGCCCUGUUAUUCCUGUAGUGGUUUUUCUUUGUUUCUUUUUAGGGCCCGAGCCAGCUGCAGAGCAGCCGGGCGUAGGCCCUGUUAUUCCUGUAGUGGUUUUUCUUUAGGGCCCGAGCAUAGCUGCUAAGCAGCAGGGCGUAGGCCCUAUUAUUCCCCAAGUGGUUUUUCUUUGUUUCUUUCUUUCUUUCUUUAGGGCCCGAGCCAGCUGCAGAGCAGCCAGGCGUAGGCCCUAUUAUUCCCCAAGUGGUUUUUUAGGGCCCGAGCCAGCUGCAGAGCAGCCGGGCGUAGGCCCUGUUAUUCCUGUAGGGGUUUUUCUUUGUUUCUUUCUUUCUUCUUUUUCCUCCCCUUUGAACUGGAAAAUGGCCCACUUCCCACUGGCGAAAACUCAGGAAAUUUGGCAGGACGACCGGGCCUGGUGAAAAAUUUGAUAUUCCGAAGUCGCCCAAACAAGAAAAUGCAAAAUGGCUCCAUAGCGCCCCCUAAGGUGAAAAUUCACACUAUUGACUGUCACGCCUGUACGCUUUGUCAAAAUGACACAAAAAUUGACACACACAUGUAUCUCAGUAAGAUCUACAAAAAAGUCAGUGCGGGCGUAUCUGUCAAAUGUACGGUUAAAGGGUUAUUUCGCAUUUUUUGCCGAUCCGCACACAUUGGAAUUUCGCUAACUCCUCCGAAGGCUUUCGUUCCACCGGCACCACAUUUGCUCAGGCCAAUCUACACCCCAUGGCCAUUAAAAGUUAUUCAAAUCAUGACGCUGCACCCCACGGUUUAGGUUCUAGGGGGCGCCAAAGAUAACCCUAAGAUCCACAUAUUUAAAAGUCUUAUAACUUUUUAUUUUUGCCCUCACUGGCCUCCAAGUUUUCUAGGAUGAUGCAAUGUCCAGCCAUCAACACAUUUGUGAAGGAAUUUUUACUCCCCAAAAGAGCGCCCCCCAUGGCAGGAGAAAAAAGUCCAUUUUUUCUUGUCCCCUAAGGUGAAAAUACACAUUGUUGAGUGUAACACCUGUACGCUUUGUCAAAAUGACACAAAAAUUGACACACACAUGUAUCUCAAUAAGAUCUACAAAAAAGUCCAUGCGCGCGUAUCUGUCAAAUGUACGGUUAAAGGGUUAUUCCGCAUUUUUUGCCGAUCCGCACACAUUGGAAUUUCGCUAACUCCUCCGAAGGCUUUCGUUCCACCGGCACCACAUUUGCUCAGGCCAAUCUACACCCCAUGGCCAUUAAAAGUUAUUCAAAUCAUGACGCUGCAUCCCACGGUUUAGGUUCUAGGGGGCGCCAAAGAUAACCCAAAAUCCACAUAUUUAAAAGUCUUAUAACUUUUUAUUUUUGUCCUCACUGGCCUCCAAGUUUUCUAGGAUGAUGCAAUGUCCAGCCAUCAACACAUUUGUGAAGGAAUUUUUACUCCCCAAAAGAGCGCCCCCCCAUGGCAGGAGAAAAAAGUCCAUUUUUUCUUGUCCCCUAAGGUGAAAAUACACAUUGUUGACUGUCACGCCUGUACGCUUUGGCAAAAUGACACAAAAAUUGACAAUCAUGUGUAUCUCAAUUAGAUCUACGAAAAAGUCAAAGAGCGCGUAUCUGUAUAAUGUACGGUAAAAGGGCUAUUUUGCAUUUUUUGCCGAUUCGCACACAUUGGAAUUUCGCUAACUCCUCCUAAGGCUUUCAUCCCACUGACACCAAAUUUGCUCAGGCCAAUCUACACUCCAUGGCCAUUCAAAGUUGUAAAAAUCAUGACGCUGCACCCCACGGUUUACGUUUUAGGGGGCGCCAAAGAUGACCCAAAUAUACAUUACAGUAGACAAAGUAGUUUUGCCCACUGAGUGGCGGCAAAGGGACUUGUCUGUGGAGUCUGUGAGUCACUAUUGGCCGUUUUUGACUACUUUAGGUUUUACCUUUAUAUUUCCUCUUACAAAAUUUUUACCUUGCCUUGCCUGGUAUCAUUUUUUUCAGCACAACCUCACCUGUGUCAAUUUACAGUUAUUUUAUCAUUUUGACAUACUAUAUUUACACAUUGGACCCAAAUUCACACACAAAACAUAAAAUCCGAGUGGAAAAAAGUAACGUUUUUACUGUGAAAACCACAAAUAUGUGUGAUGAACUGUUUUUAAAACUUAAACUUCAAAUAAAAAUUGUAAACUUCAAAACAUAUGCAAAUUUUUAACAAAGAACAUAGUAAUUUACCUCUAUUGACAUCAAAAUGCAGGCAAUGGCCCAGGUGUUCUUUGUAAAAUUAUUUACAAAACACUGUAUAGUCUCACAAAUGUCACUUUUUAUUUAUGCCACUACAAAAAAACAUGAUGUAAAUGAUGCAUGAUGUAAAACAUGAUGUAAAAAACUUGUGUAGAUCCUCCUCUAUGUUAGUCCAUGUGUAAUUUUUCCAUAAUUCUUUGUUUUUUGCAGCAUUUUUGUUAGUGUAACUGCAGAUUGUGCUGACAGUGUCUAUGGCAAAAAAAAAAAAAAAAAAAUUAAAAUGCCUCAACAUGAACCCCUGGUGGUCUCUGAGGGUGAAACCUGCUAACUGCUGCAGCUCUGUCAGCUUCAGUCUCCCAUGCAGAGCUCUGAGCGCAUGUGUGGCUCUGCACCCUUAGCAGCGUUGCUAACUCCUCAGUAAGGAAAGCCUGCUUCAUGUCAGAGUCUCUAAACUCCAGAAGAAGUCGAUAAAAGUCCCUUUCUUUCUAAAAAGUCGUUAGGGGGUCUGAAAAGUCAUUGAAUCUAACAACAAAGUCGCUAGGUUUGCAACUACGUGUCCCAGACUGCAUCCC